UCAGUUGUCGGGGUCGGGAUUCUCGACGUUUACUGUGAAAAAAUCAGAGUGUUCAACGCAGGCUUACGCCUUGAAUACAUUAGCAUGGAAUAAUGAGAUAGGACCUUGGCGGUCUAUUUUGUUGGUUUGCACGCCGAGGUAAUGAUUAAAAGGGACGGUUGGGGUUCUUCGUAUUCAAUUGUCAGAGGUGAAAUUCUUGGAUUUAUGGAAGACGAACUGCUGCGAAAGCGUCGAACAAGGACGUUCUCAUUAAUCAAGAACGAAAGUUAGGGGAUCGAAGAUGAUUAGAUACCAUCGUAGUCUUAACCAUAAACUAUGCCGAUUCAGGAUUGGCGGUCGUUUGUUCUCGACUCCGUCAGCACUGUAUGAGAAAUCAAAAUCUUUGGGUUCCGGGGGGAGUAUGG
rnacentral:rRNA from 1 species